GCCCCUUUGCUUCCUGCUGUGUACUUGAGCUGGGACAUCAGUCUUCUCCUGCCCUUGGACUGGGAUUUACACCCUCAGCCUCUGGUUCUCAGGCCUUCAGACUUGGACUGGAAUUAUACUCUUGGUCUCCUCUCCAGUUUGCAGACAGCAGAUCAUGGGACUUGAUCUGCUCAGCCUCAAUAAUCACCCUGCACUGCUCAGAUGUCAGUCUCUAAAUUCCUAACACAAAUGAACAGAAGACAAAAUCAUUUGCAGGAUUCUGAAAUGAAGUUUUUCAGCGGAACACAGAGAAACAGUUAAAUUUUGCAAAGCUGUGAAACUGGAGAGGGGGCUGUCCUCCAAAUCUACCAACCAGAGACCUGGAAGGAAUUACUUGCAUGAGAUUCAUUUCUCUCUGUCUUUCUCUUUCUCCCCUCUCCCCACCUAUCUGCACCAAACUCACCUGCCAAUUUCAUCAGCGAUACUUGAAUGGAUUUUCUAACCUGUUCCACUCCAAAUUGAUCAGUUAAUUAAGUUGAUCUCUACAAGACUGUUAAAGAACCAGGUCUUUUUCCUUUCAUGUUAUGCAGUUCCAAGUAAACUCCCUUUACUCUGGUAUCCUUAUCAGAGGCAGACAUCACAGGAAGUGGAGCAUUCCUUAUGAAUAUCUUAAUCUACACACAAAUAGAUUUUUUUCAAUGUGAAUUUGGAUUUCUAAAAGCACGCUUACUGCAAGUACAUUUUGCAGCCUCUUGUUUCCAGAUCAGAAUUGAGUGAUUUUCUAUUAUUUAUUUAUUUAUUAUUUGUCACUUUAAAAUAUGCAAUUCUUGGGAUCAUGCAGAAUUGCUGUAUAUUUGCUUUGAAGAUUAGAAUAAAACUGGUAGAUAAUG
rnacentral:lncRNA from 1 species